UCUUGGGGAUAUUGCAGCAGACUUUGAACUUUGUAAAGAGGGGCAGGUAAGAAGAUUCAUUUGGGAGAGGUGUUCUUUUAUUUUAUUUUUUUUUUUUACUAUUUCUAUUGUUUGUAGUUUAUGUAUGACUUGAUGUCGCGGCAGAUAUAGCACUUCAAAGGAAUGGUAGCAGAUAAGCAUUUACGUUAAGUACUGCUGGAGCUGAACAUAUGAUUUACCAAUCAAGGAGGUAGUGUUGUUAUAUUGAUGACUUAGUUUUUUAGGAGUUUGUGUUAAUAUUAUUUUUUUUAUUUUGUUUUAGUGUUGUGGCUAAAUUACUUCCUGACUGUUCGUUGUUUGAUCAUCCCAGUCGAAAUAGUGAAUGUUAGAGGUAUUGCAUUUUUAUAAAGGGAGUAUUUUUUUUAUGUUUUUAAAUUGUGUAGUAAUUAUAGUGGGUGUAUCUUGUUUAAUUGAUGUGUCUUCAUAUUUUUAUACUUUGUUGUAAUAGACUGUGUUUUCCCUUUCAGGGAUGCACAGUUACCGUUUACUUUUGAUUUAAUAUACUGUUUGUUCAUCACUUUGUUACGAGAAUUUGGGGACCCAGAGUGACAGAGGAGAUGUUAGGCCCCAAAGAAACUGGGUUUAUGGUGAUUGUGAUCUGAUGCUGACUUGUGUUUGUCAUCUGCGUUGCCCACUGUUAAUUAAGUUUUUUUUUUUUUAAUUUAUUUUUUUUUAUUUCUUUCUUUUGUAGGUUUGGUUUGGUUUCUUACGCCAGCGGUGGCCACUGCGUUGACCUCACUGUGUGGAUGGCGGUGGUGAGGUGGUUGGGUUUUUGUGUGGACACAAGAGGGCAGCAGCAGUCCAUCAUGAGAACACAGAGAUGAUUUCUCUGCAGCCCUGUGAGAAGGAAGAAUAAAAUCUGCCAUCUGUAACAAAAAGGAAGUUUCUGCAUUACAAACAAAAAUGAAACGUACUCCAAGUCAUUUUUCACACACAAUCCUUUUACACUGACAUGUAAUAAAGACUUGGUGUAGUUAGAAGUCUUGGUAUAGUGUUAAUGGCUUAGAAAUAGGUGUUGCUGUUUUUCUACAUCAGGAUGGUCAUCAUGUUUAUAUCGAUUUAUGAAGAAAAAAAAAUGGUGAACUUUAAUUAAAAAAAAACAUUAAGACUUUUGAUUCCUAAGUAAAAUAACACAGACAUAAAUUGGUCAGUCGUGGACUGAAGAUGUUUAUUUGGUGUACAUUGAAAAUCGAAAAUUAGCAAACAAAUCCCGAUGACCUAGAACAAAGUUUAAUAUGAGUCCAGGCAAUCUGGCUGCUCUAAUUUCAGUUUUCUAAAAAAGGGAAAUCUUGCUUUGCAGACGCAAACACAUUACUUAACAAAUGAAGACCUGAAACAUCAUUCUGUAGUGUAGGAAAAACAA